CCUACGGGAGGCAGCAGUGAGGAAUAUUGGUCAAUGGGAGAGAUCCUGAACCAGCCAAGCCGCGUGAGGGAAGACGGCCCUAUGGGUUGUAAACCUCGUUUGUCGGAGAACAAAACCCGGGACGUGUCCCGGACUGCGUGUAUCCGAAGAAAAAGCAUCGGCUAACUCCGUGCCAGCAGCCGCGGUAAUACGGAGGAUGCGAGCGUUAUCCGGAUUUAUUGGGUUUAAAGGGUGCGUAGGCGGUCCGUUAAGUCAGCGGUAAAAUUGCGGGGCUCAACCCCGUCGAGCCGUUGAAACUGGCAGACUGGAGUUGGAGAGAAGUAAGCGGAAUGCGCGGUGUAGCGGUGAAAUGCAUAGAUAUCGCGAAGAACUCCGAUUGCGAAGGCAGCGUACCGGCGCCCGACUGACGCUGAGGCACGAAAGCGUGGGGAUCGAACAGGAUUAGAUACCCUAGUAGUC
rnacentral:rRNA from 1 species